rnacentral:lncRNA from 1 species
AUUCAGCAAGUCAAAGAGGAAGGAAAGGAGUGGAUUCUCUCUUAUUGUAUGUGUAUGAGUAUGAUCAACAAGAAAGCCAUAACAGAAAUGAUAAGAAGGUCUUCCAUCAAUCAUACAAAAGCAGCUUCAGUAGCCUAAUACCAGCACAAGUCGAGGGGCGUAAGCGUUUACCUUUACCUGUUUAAUCAAUCCCUGGGAUACUAGGCCCACUCUUUAGCACACCAUAAGAUCGGAUAUAUAUCAGGGCUUUAGCCCGAGGGAGAAGGGGUCCCAGAUCUAGUUGUGAU